rnacentral:rRNA from 1 species
AGAGUUUGAUCAUGGCUCAGGAUGAACGCUAGCUACAGGCUUAACACAUGCAAGUCGAGGGGAAACGACAUCGAAAGCUUGCUUUUGAUGGGCGUCGACCGGCGCACGGGUGAGUAACGCGUAUCCAACCUGCCCAUCACUUGGGGAUAACCUUGCGAAAGUAAGACUAAUACCCAAUGAUAUCUCUAGAAGGCAUCUGAAAGAGAUUAAAGAUUUAUCGGUGAUGGAUGGGGAUGCGUCUGAUUAGCUUGGUUGGCGGGGUAACGCCCACAAAGCAACGAUCAGUAGGGGUUCUGAGAGGAACGGUCCCCCANAUUGGAACUGAGACACGGUCCAAACUCCGUACGGGAGGCA